rnacentral:rRNA from 1 species
UUUCUAGUGGCGGACGGGUGAGUAACGCGUGGGUAACCUGCCUUAUACAGGGGGAUAACAACCAGAAAUGGUUGCUAAUACCGCAUAAGCGCACAGGACCGCAUGGUCCGGUGUGAAAAACUCCGGUGGUAUAAGAUGGACCCGCGUUGGAUUAGCUAGUUGGCAGGGUAACGGCCUACCAAGGCGACGAUCCAUAGCCGGCCUGAGAGGGUGAACGGCCACAUUGGGACUGAGACACGGCCCAGACUCCUACGGGAGGCAGCAUG